rnacentral:rRNA from 1 species
CUCAGGAUGAACGCUGGCGGCGUGCCUAAUACAUGCAAGUCGAGCGAACGGACAGGAGUGCUUGCACUCCUUGAAGUUAGCGGCGGACGGGUGAGUAACACGUGGGUAACCUACCUAUAAGACUGGGAUAACUUCGGGAAACCGGAGCUAAUACCGGAUAAUAUAUACCUCCGCAUGGAGGAAUAGUCAAAGACGGUUCUGCUGUCACUUAUAGAUGGACCCGCGGUGUAUUAGCUAGUUGGUGAGGUAACGGCUCACCAAGGCAACGAUACAUAGCCGACCUGAGAGGGUGAUCGGCCACACUGGGACUGAGACACGGCCCAGACUCCUACGGGAGGCAGCAGUAGGGAAUCUUCCGCAAUGGACGAAAGUCUGACGGAGCAACGCCGCGUGAGUGAAGAAGGUUUUCGGAUCGUAAAACUCUGUUGUAAGGNNAGAACAAGUACGUUAGNAACUGAACGUACCUGA